GUCGAGCGAACAGACGAGGAGCUUGCUCCUCUGACGUUAGCGGCGGACGGGUGAGUAACACGUGGAUAACCUACCUAUAAGACUGGGAUAACUUCGGGAAACCGGAGCUAAUACCGGAUAAUAUAUUGAACCGCAUGGUUCAAUAGUGAAAGACGGUUUUGCUGUCACUUAUAGAUGGAUCCGCGCCGCAUUAGCUAGUUGGUAAGGUAACGGCUUACCAAGGCGACGAUGCGUAGCCGACCUGAGAGGGUGAUCGGCCACACUGGAACUGAGACACGGUCCAGACUCCUACGGGAGGCAGCAGUAGGGAAUCUUCCGCAAUGGGCGAAAGCCUGACGGAGCAACGCCGCGUGAGUGAUGAAGGUCUUCGGAUCGUAAAACUCUGUUAUUAGGGAAGAACAAAUGUGUAAGUAACUAUGCACGUCUUGACGGUACCUAAUCAGAAAGCCACGGCUAACUACGUGCCAGCAGCCGCGGUAAUACGUAGGUGGCAAGCGUUAUCCGGAAUUAUUGGGCGUAAAGCGCGCGUAGGCGGUUUUUUAAGUCUGAUGUGAAAGCCCACGGCUCAACCGUGGAGGGUCAUUGGAAACUGGAAAACUUGAGUGCAGAAGAGGAAAGUGGAAUUCCAUGUGUAGCGGUGAAAUGCGCAGAGAUAUGGAGGAACACCAGUGGCGAAGGCGACUUUCUGGU
rnacentral:rRNA from 1 species